rnacentral:rRNA from 1 species
GCCAUGCCGCGUGCAGUGAUGACGGUCCUAUGGAUUGUAAACUGCUUUUGUACGAAAAAAAACACUCCUAUGUAUAGGAGCUUGACGGUCUCGUAAGAAUAAGGAUCGGCUAACUCCGUGCCAGCAGCCGCGGUAAUACGGAGGAUCCGAGCGUUAUCCGGAAUCAUUGGGUUUAAAGGGUCCGGAGGCGGUUUAGUAAGUCAGUGGUGAAAGCCCAUCGCUCAACGGUGGAACGGCCAUUGAUACUGCUGAACUUGAAUUACUGGGAAGUAACUAAAAUAUGUAGAGUAGCGGUGAAAUGCUUAGAUAUUACAUGGAAUACCAAUUGCGAAGGCAGGUUACUACCAGUUGAUUGACGCUGAUGGACGAAAGCGUGGGGAGCGAACAGGAUUACAUACCCUGGUAGUCCACGCCGUAAACGAUGGAUACUAGCUGUUGGGAGCAAUUUCAGUGGCUAAGCGAAAGUGAUAAGUAUCCCACCUGGGGAGUACGUUCGCAAGAAUGAAACUCACAGGAAUUGACGGGGGCCCGCACAAGCGGUGGAGCAUGUGGUUUAAUUCGAUGAUACGCGAGGAACCUUACCAAGGCUUAAAUGUAAGAUUGACCGUUUUGGAAACAGA